AAAUUGAAGAGUUUGAUCAUGGCUCAGAUUGAACGCUGGCGGCAGGCCUAACACAUGCAAGUCGAGCGGCAGCGGGAAAGUAGCUUGCUACUUUUGCCGGCGAGCGGCGGACGGGUGAGUAAUGCCUGGGGAUCUGCCCAGUCGAGGGGGAUAACAGUUGGAAACGACUGCUAAUACCGCAUACGCCUACGGGGGAAAGGAGGGGACCUUCGGGCCUUUCGCGAUUGGAUGAACCAGGUGGGAUUAGCUAGUUGGUGGGGUAAUGGCUCACCAAGGCGACGAUCCCUAGCUGGUCUGAGAGGAUGAUCAGCCACACUGGAACUGAGACACGGUCCAGACUCCUACGGGAGGCAGCAGUGGGGAAUAUUGCACAAUGGGGGAAACCCUGAUGCAGCCAUGCCGCGUGUGU
rnacentral:rRNA from 1 species